rnacentral:rRNA from 1 species
GACGAACGCUGGCGGCGUGCUUAACACAUGCAAGUCGAACGGAAAGUCCCUGCUUGCAGGGUGCUCGGUUGGCGAACGGGUGGGUAACGCGUGGGUGAUCUGCCCCUCACUUUGGGAUAAGCCUGGGAAACUGGGUCUAAUACUGGAUAGGACCAUGCUGUCGGUUGUGUGGUGGCGAGUUUAGUUUCGGUAUGGGGUGUGCUAGCGGCCUCUCAGCGUGUUGGUGGGGUAUUGGCCUACCAAGGCGUCGACGGGUAGCCGGCCUGAGAGGGUGGGAGGCUGAAUAGCGACUGAGAGACGGCCCAGAGUCCUACGCGCGGCAGCAAUGGGGAAGUUUGCACAAUGGGAGCAAGCGUGAUGCAGUGACGCAGCGUGGGGGAGGGAGGGAUGAGGGUUGUAGGGUCGUUAAGGCCAUGUCGAAGCGCUUGUGGUGACGGUAGUGGUAGAAGAAGCACCGGCUAACUACGUG